rnacentral:rRNA from 2 species
ACCUGCCCUUGACUCUGGGAUAAGCCUGGGAAACUGGGUCUAAUACCGGAUAUGACCUUCCAUCGCAUGGUGGUUGGUGGAAAGCUUUUGUGGUUUUGGAUGGACUCGCGGCCUAUCAGCUUGUUGGUGGGGUAAUGGCCUACCAAGGCGACGACGGGUAGCCGGCCUGAGAGGGUGACCGGCCACACUGGGACUGAGACACGGCCCAGACUCCUACGGGAGGCAGCAGUGGGGAAUAUUGCACAAUGGGCGGAAGCCUGAUGCAGCGACGCCGCGUGAGGGAUGACGGCCUUCGGGUUGUAAACCUCUUUCAGUAGGGAAGAAGCGAAAGUGACGGUACCUGCAGAAGAAGCGCCGGCUAACUACGUGCCAGCAGCCGCGGUAAUACGUAGGGCGCAAGCGUUAUCCGGAAUUAUUGGGCGUAAAGAGCUCGUAGGCGGUUUGUCGCGUCUGCCGUGAAAGUCCGGGGCUCAACUCCGGAUCUGCGGUGGGUACGGGCAGACUAGAGUGAUGUAGGGGAGACUGGAAUUCCUGGUGUAGCGGUGAAAUGCGCAGAUAUCAGGAGGAACACCGAUGGCGAAGGCAGGUCUCUGGGCAUUAACUGACGCUGAGGAGCGAAAGCAUGGGGAGCGAACAGGAUUAGAUACCCUGGUAGUCCAUGCCGUAAACGUUGGGCACUAGGUGUGGGGGACAUUCCACGUUUUCCGCGCCGUAGCUAACGCAUUAAGUGCCCCGCCUGGGGAGUACGGCCGCAAGGCUAAAACUCAAAGGAAUUGACGGGGGCCCGCACAAGCGGCGGAGCAUGCGGAUUAAUUCGAUGCAACGCGAAGAACCUUACCAAGGCUUGACAUGAACCGGUAAUACCUGGAAACAGGUGCCCCGCUUGCGGUCGGUUUACAGGUGGUGCAUGGUUGUCGUCAGCUCGUGUCGUGAGAUGUUGGGUUAAGUCCCGCAACGAGCGCAACCCUCGUUCUAUGUUGCCAGCACGUGAUGGUGGGGACUCAUAGGAGACUGCCGGGGUCAACUCGGAGGAAGGUGGGGACGACGUCAAAUCAUCAUGCCCCUUAUGUCUUGGGCUUCACGCAUGCUACAAUGGCCGGUACAAAGGGUUGCGAUACUGUGAGGUGGAGCUAAUCCCAAAAAGCCGGUCUCAGUUCGGAUUGGGGUCUGCAACUCGACCCCAUGAAGUCGGAGUCGCUAGUAAUCGCAGAUCAGCAACGCUGCGGUGAAUACGUUCCCGGGCCUUGUACAC